UACGUAGGGGGCUAGCGUUGUCCGGAAUCAUUGGGCGUAAAGCGCGCGUAGGCGGCCAGAUAAGUCCGGUGUGAAAGUCACAGGCUCAACCUGUGAAUGCCGCUGGAAACUGUCUGGCUUGAGUCCGGAAGGGGCGAGUGGAAUUCCUGGUGUAGCGGUGAAAUGCGCAGAUAUCAGGAAGAACACCUAUGGCGAAGGCAGCUCUCUGGGACGGUACUGACGCUGAGACGCGAAAGCGUGGGGAGCGAACAGG
rnacentral:rRNA from 1 species